AAAUUCUGCCCUAUGAAUAUUUAAAUGGCUGCAGUAUUUUAACUGUACAAAGGUAGCAUAAUAAUUAGUUCUUUAAUUGAGGACUGGAAUGAAAGAUUUAAUGAGAAGUUUAUUUUAUUUUUUUUAUUUUUUAAAUUUUAUUUUUAAGUAAAAAAGCUUAAUUUUUUUUUCGGGACGAAAAGACCCUAUAGAACUUUAUUUAAUUUUUAUUAAUUUUUGUUAAUCUAUUAAAUCUUAAUUAAAUUUAAAUUUUGUUGGGGUGACUAAUAAAAUAAUCUUUAUUUUUUUUAUUCAUUUAUUUAUGAUUCUUUUUGACUUAUAUAUUUUUAAUUGUAAGAUUAAGUUACCUUAGGGAUAACAGCGUAAUUUUUAUGGGGAGUUCAUAUCUAUAUAAAAGUUUGCGACCUCGAUGUUGAAUUAAGAUAAAUUAAUGAGGAAGUACUUGUUAUAUUAAGUCUGUUCGACUUUUAAAUUCUU
rnacentral:rRNA from 1 species